rnacentral:RNase_P_RNA from 1 species
AGAGUUGGCGCAGGCAGUUGCGGGCGGGUUUAGGCCCGUCUGAGGAAAGUCCGGGCUCCCCAAAGACCAGACUUGCUGGGUAACGCCCAGUGCGGGUGACCGUGAGGAGAGUGCCACAGAAACAUACCGCCGAUGGGAAGGCAGAGGGCAGAAGGCAGCGGAUAGAAGGGAAACCUUGUCCUGAGUCUCUGGUUUCUGGUCUUUUACAGGUAAGGGUGCAAGGGUGCGGUAAGAGCGCACCAGCAGCAUCGAGAGGUGCUGGCUCGGUAAACCCCGGUUGGGAGCAAGGUCGCAGGGGCGAUGGUUGGUCUUUUUCCAGCUCCGCUAAAGAGAACCGCAAGAGGCGGCUGGUAACAGCCGUCCCAGAUAGAUAACCGCCCUCCGUCAGGAGAACAGAACCCGGCUUAUGUCCGGCUCUUUCC